ACCUNGGAUCGGGUAGGGAUACCCGCUGAACUUAAGCAUAUCAAUAAGCGGAGGA
rnacentral:rRNA from 1 species